GGUGUAACCGCUCCAUUAGCCUAGUGGUUAGAGCAUCCGCCUCGGAUGUGGGAAGUCGUGGGUUCGAACCCUGCUCGAGUUACACCA